UACCUGGUUAUGUAUAUAUAAUUAUUUGUUGAGUAUUAAUCCAACAAUCUUCCAUCUCCCUCCUGGUUAUGUAUAUAAUUAUUUUAUUAAUUUUCUGAUGAGUUUUUGUGUCUCGUGGGACCCACCCACGUGGGUCUUCACCCUUACCCGUGCUUCUACUCCUAUAUGCACUCCAUUACUCUUCUGUCUCCCACCUUCACGCAAUCCUCUCUCUCACUAACUUUCUCUCUCUACUUCUUCACACUUUUCUGUCAUCUCCCUCGCCAUCUAUGUGCUCAUUGCACAGAAAACAGCAACAUCCAUCUCCAUCUAACUAGCCACUCCGGCGAACCUUGCCACCAGCCAAACACUACAUUGCCACCCUCGCUCUCUCACAAUCUUUCUGUCUCUCCCUCUCGGCUUCUUCCUUGACACAGAGAAACACAUAAGCAACGACAGUGAUAGAGCUGGGGAUCUCUGGCGAGGCAACCACCACAGUCACCUUCCUCUCCUCAUUGCAGACUUCCCUUUACCUUUUGCUUUAUGGAAAUCGAAACCGACGUGACAAAAUGACAAGCUCCAUCGCGGCUUGACUCCCUGAUGAGAUUUUCUGUCGAAUCUAGUAUGGGGGACAAAUUCCCCUGAUUUCCAGUAAGGGCUAUGAUUUUAGGCUAUCACCAGCCACCCAAUGGCCUUGAAGAAGGUCGCACUGUCGCUGCGUGUGGUACUAUUGUGGAUGGCGCGUGGAGCACAGGCACCUCCACCGGAAGGAUGAUUGCCUGAAAGGAUGAAUAUACGUUUUCAAAUGUUUGUUUCAUAUUGUAGGGUAUUUCGAAUUUGUUAUUAUCUUUUUUAAUUUAAUUGAUAGGGCACAAUUACAAAAAUUGUGCUAACUUGAAUCUGAAAUGGCAUUUGACACAGGUGUCAGAACAGGGCACAAAAAAAAACCUUAUUUGUGCUCAACUCUUUGAGCACACAUAGCCAUAUGGUGCCCUCUAAUCAAUGGUGACGCCCAUAGAGGGCACAAACACAAAGAUAAUAGCUGCAUUGUUGCUAUUGGUCUAUAAGCGCAAUUAUUGGUGCUUUUUGGCCUUCAAUGACACAAAUAAUUUAUUGUGUGCAGUGCUCAUUUUUGUUAUAGUGGUAGAAUUUCUAGCCUAGAUAUGUGCAUGCAUUUGUUGUACUAUAUAAAUGUAUUAUACCUAGUGUUUUCACAUUCAAGGAAAUAUAAUUCUCCCGAGUUAAAUCUUUUUACAUGGCACCAGAGCAACUUUUCUGGUGACAAACACAAAAUCCAAAAACUAUCCAAUCUCAGCCACCCACCAUGAAGUGUGAAACAUGCGACUAAGUCUGGCAUACUGUAGAGACCUGUCCAUCCCACCAUGAACGCUCCAAUGGGAACAAUGUGACAAGCUCUUCGAAGAAACAAGAAUUGGGAAGUUCAUUUCCAUUCACUCCGGCCGGAUCAAUGCAAGCAAAUCAUUGCUAUGCUGAAUGAGAACAAGCCCAAACCUCACAACAUUGGUAACAAACUCUUCCCUAAGCAGGUUGUCAGGUGCAAAAUUUUCUUGCAGUUUACAUGGACAACGCUGGUCUUGAAUCUUGGAUAGUGGUGUGACCGCCCAUAUUGUGCACACCCACACUUCUUACAUCCUGGAACCUGUUCAAAAUCGUACUGCAGAGCUUGCUGAUGGGACAUCUACUCCUGGACUCAUAUAGGCACCAUGGUCUUUUCUUGUCAACCAACCUUACAGGAUGUUCUUUGUGUCCUAUCUUUUAAUCUUAAUCUUGUUUCCAUUAGCAAGCUUACGUAGCAUUCUUUAUGCAUCACCGUUUUUCUAAAUAAUCUCUGUGUGAUACAAUACCUUUGUUCGGGGAAGAUGAUUGACGCUACCUGCCACUCCAUCAAACCUACAUCCUCCUCUCAUUCUAGUUUAUGGCACAAUCGUCUUGGUCACCUCUCCGAUAAAGUCCUCCACCUAAUUUCCGUUUCUGCUAGAGAUGCGUCAAAUAAAUGCACUGUUUUUCCCUUGGCAAAGCAAACACGAACUCGUUUUCCUUUACCAAGUAUUUCGAGCACUUCCCCAUUUGAGUUAUUACAUGUUGAUAUAUGGGGAAUGGUACAAAGUCUACGAUGUCGCACAACUAAAAUAUUCAUCUCCCACUACAUUAUUUUUCACGAAGAAACCUUUCCCUGUGACCACACUUCCACUACCUCGCAACCAACCAUCACGCCUACUCUCUUAAAUGCACCACCAUAUCCAACUUCUGUAAACAACGAUCCAUACACCAUGGAAGCUCCAAAUUCUACUAAACCGUCACCGACCAACACAACCAAUGUUCGUUUCCAAAGACGCCGUUGCAAUCGAGCCUUCUAUUGAAUCCACAACAGCAUAACGACCAUAAGAACCUACUCAUGAGUGCAGCCGGCCUACCCGUGCACCUUCCCACUCCCACCUGCAACAAUCGGCCUCACAUGUUGGUUCUCAUACAGGUAAUCCUCAUUCUCUCUCUCUCCUCUGCUCUAAAAUCCGCAGGCUACCAACAAUCAAAAACCGACAUUUCCUUAUUCGUCUGAUCCAAAGGUAACAACUUUACCGCAUUGCUUUUUUAUGUUGAUGAUGUGAUAUUGGCAUUGAAGUCACAAAGCGCAUUUUAGCGGGCAGAUUCAAACUCAAGGACCUGGGGAAAUGAAAAUUAAAAAAUUUCCUAGGAAUCAAAGUUGCACUUGAAAUAUUGGAGGAUUCAAGGUUUCUUGGUGCUCGUUGGCCGUUUGAUAUACUUGACAAUCACAAGACUGGAUAUGGUUUGAUGGACAAACCCAGGGUACCGCACCUGUAUUUAGCCCAUCGUUUUCUUAUCCUCCACAAGCUCGUUACAAUUGAGAGCUUACUGUGAUGCAGAUUGGAAACUAAACACUUGUAUUUGGCGAGCUCAUGAACAGUGCCCCAUUCGUUUGAGAAGCAUGUCCGAGGUCCGGACAAAACUUGUACCCAUAUGAACUUUAAUUAAGCAGUUGAAUCCCUCGUUACCAGAACCCGUACCCGACAGUUGUAACUCUAACGUAACAAGCGCUAACGCCUAAACCAAAAUACAAAUGUAACAAAUGUACCGGAAAUUGAAGUGCAGAAAGCACA